GAGUUUGAUCCUGGCUCAGGACGAACGCUGGCGGCGUGCUUAACACAUGCAAGUCGAACGGAAAGGCCCGCUUGCGGGUACUCGAGUGGCGAACGGGUGAGUAACACGUGGGCAACCUGCCCUCAGCUCUGGGAUAACUCCGGGAAACCGGUGCUAAUACUGGAUAUCGACUUCUGCCUCGCAUGGGGUGCUGUUGAAAGUUUUUCGGCUGGGGAUGGGCCCGCGGCCUAUCAGCUUGUUGGUGGGUGAUGGCCUACCAAGGCGACGACGGGUAGCCGGCCUGAGAGGGCGACCGGCCACACUGGGACUGAGACACGGCCCAGACUCCUACGGGAGGCAGCAGUGGGGAAUAUUGCGCAAUGGGCGGAAGCCUGGCGCAGCGACGCCGCGUGAGGGAUGACGG
rnacentral:rRNA from 1 species